rnacentral:rRNA from 1 species
AGGUGCGAUCAUACCAGCACUAAUGCACCGGAUCCCAUCAGAACUCCGCAGUUAAGCGUGCUUGGGCUAGAGUAGUACUAGGAUGGGUGACCUCUUGGGAAGUCCUCGUGUUGCACCU